rnacentral:rRNA from 1 species
CAUCUUAGUCAGCGAAGGAAAAGAAACCAACAGGGAUUGCCCUAGUAACGGCGAGUGAAGCGGCAACAGCUCAAAUUUGAAAUCUGGCCCUCGGGUCCGAGUUGUAAUUUGUAGAGGAUGCUUUUGGCGCGGUGCCUUCCGAGUUCCCUGGAACGGGACGCCUUAGAGGGUGAGAGCCCCGUACGGUUGGACACCAAGCCUCUGUAAAGCUCCUUCGACGAGUCGAGUAGCUUGGGAAUGCUGCUCUAAAUGGGAGGUAAAUUUCUUCUAAAGCUAAAUAUUGGCCAGAGACCGAUAGCGCACAAGUAGAGUGAUCGAAAGAUGAAAAGCACUUUGAAAAGAGGGUUAAACAGCACGUGAAAUUGUUGAAAGGGAAGCGUUUGCGACCAGACCUUUUCCUAGCGGAUCAUCCGGUGUUCUCACCGGUGCACUUCGCUAGGUUUAGGCCAGCAUCGGUUUCUGUAGGGGGAUAAAAGCUCUGGGAACGUAGCUCCUCCGGGAGUGUUAUAGCCCUCUGCAUAAUACCC